rnacentral:rRNA from 1 species
UACGUAGGGUGCAAGCGUUAUCCGGAAUUAUUGGGCGUAAAGAGCUCGUAGGCGGUUUGUCGCGUCUGCUGUGAAAAACUGGGGGGCUCAACCCCCCAGCCUGCAGUGGGUACGGGCAGACUAGAGUGCGGUAGGGGAGAUUGGAAUUCCUGGUGUAGCGGUGGAAUGCGCAGAUAUCAGGAGGAACACCGAUGGCGAAGGCAGAUCUCUGGGCCGUAACUGACGCUGAGGAGCGAAAGCAUGGGGAGCGAACAGG